rnacentral:lncRNA from 1 species
CGCCCCAACUUUUCCCUGGUAGCAGAGCGCCGGGGAAACGCCGAUUGGGAAGAGAGACCCGCGGUGCCCACACUCAGCUCCGUCAGCCCCAGUCUGAGGUGGAGCCCAGCCUUCUCAGGAGUUCAACUCAACCACAUGUAUGGUGCUUCCCGUGUGCCAGGCAUGGUGCCAGGCCCCGGGGACAUGCCAUGACUACGCCGCGUCUCUGCUCUCAAGGAACUCACUCUAGUGUGGAGAAAGACACCCGACAGACUGUCUAAAACCUGGUGAUUACACAGAAGGCGGGAGCGCAGGGGACACCUGACCCCCUGGGACAGCCGUGAAGGGAUUGGGAAAAUGCUUCCUGUGGGGUGGAGGCCCUGAGGAGUUUGGGAAGGAAGAGGGAUUCAGGUGAAGGUGACCUGAGCGGGUGGGUUCAUCAGGAAAGGACGCCAGAGCGCCAGGGGCCAGUCACAGCCCGGAGAGUGGGAAAUGACAGCAAUUUUGGAAUUGCACACAAGGCGGGAAAGGGGAAAUGAUGCUGUAGAAAGCAGGAGAAGCCAGAUAAUGCGGAUGCAUAGCCAGACCCAGGGCGUGGGCUUUUUCUCGCGAGCUGUGGGUGCCACUUAGGGAGACUAGAGGAUAGCGAACAGGAGAGGGAUGUGCUCAAAGCUGGCAGCUGCACGUUGGAAACUAAAUCAGGGGUAUGGGGACAUGAGAUCCUAUGGGGAGACCAGAGCCAUAGACUCGGAGAUGGAGGAUGAAGACCUGAACUGGGGUGGAGGCAGAGAGAAGGCAGAAGGAAGAAGGGAUGGAAAUGAGAUAGGAGACAAACUCGGCCAGCCCAGCCGGAAGCUGUGGCUGGUUGGCCCCUGGGGUUGGGGUGGAGAGGAGGGAGGGAGGCAGUCUGACUUCUGGCUUUGGAGAUGUCAGCUGUGAAAAGGUCUCUGACCAGGCCUGUAUGGGGCAGGUAGUCACUGUUUACUUGUGUCACACACACACACACAGCAGAAGGAGUGUAUUAGAAGCACCUCAUGCAACCCUGCUGGCGGGAGUGUAAACUGGUGCAACCUCUUUGAAGAGUGAUUUGACAAUAUCUAUCAAAAAUAUUUUUAAAAUGCAGACACCUUUUGUCUAGCAAUUCCACUUUUAGGGAUUUACACUGUAGAUAAAAUGUAUAUACAUAUAACCUCGUAUGUGGGUGGGUAUUAAUUGCAUCCUUUGUAAUCACAAAACACUUGAAAUAACCUAAGUGUCCACCAAGAAGAGACUGGUUAAAUAGAUGCUGCUAUGUCUAUAGCAAAGAAUGCCAUGCAGUCAUGAAAAGUGAUGAGGUGGAAGAUAGACCAGUAAAUGAAACAAAGCAAGAUUCAUAACUAGAGUGAUGGCAUAUUCCCACUAGAGGGAAUAUAAAGUAGACACAGAUAUAAGUGUAUACUUUUCAUUUUUUUGCUGAGGAAGAUUCACCCUGAGCUCACCUCCAUGCCAAUCUUCCUUUACUUUACA